rnacentral:rRNA from 1 species
UACGUAGGGACCAAGCGUUGUCCGGAAUUAUUGGGCGUAAAGAGCUCGUAGGCGGCUGUCCACGUCGGAUGUGAAAGCUCGGGGCUCAACCCUGAGAGGCCAUUCGAUACGGGAUAGCUAGAGGUAGGUAGGGGAGAUUGGAAUUCCUGGUGUAGCGGUGAAAUGCGCAGAUAUCAGGAGGAACACCAAUUGCGAAGGCAGCUCGCUGGGACGUUACUGACGCUGAGACGCGAAAGCGUGGGGAGCAAACAGG